rnacentral:tRNA from 1 species
GGCAGCAUGGCCUAGUGGAAAGGGCACAGGCCUGAGAGUCAGGGGAUCUAGGUUCUAAUCCUGGUUCCGCCA